rnacentral:tRNA from 1 species
GGUUGUAGCUCAGUGGUAGAACGCUUGCCUAGCAUGUGCAAGGCCCUGGGUUUGAUCCUCAGCAACAAACA